UUAAGCGACUAAGCGUACACGGUGGAUGCCCUGGCAGUCAGAGGCGAUGAAGGACGUGCUAAUCUGCGAAAAGCGUCGGUAAGGUGAUAUGAACCGUUAUAACCGGCGAUGUCCGAAUGGGGAAACCCAGUGUGAUUCGUCACACUAUCGUUAACUGAAUACAUAGGUUAACGAGGCGAACCGGGGGAACUGAAACAUCUAAGUACCCCGAGGAAAAGAAAUCAACCGAGAUUCCCCCAGUAGCGGCGAGCGAACGGGGAGCAGCCCAGAGUCUGAAUCAGCUUGUGUGUUAGUGGAACGGUCUGGAAAGUCCGACGGUACAGGGUGAUAGUCCCGUACACCAAAAUGCACAGGUUGUGAACUCGAAGAGUAGGGCGGGACACGUGGUAUCCUGUCUGAAUAUGGGGGGACCAUCCUCCAAGGCUAAAUACUCCUGACUGACCGAUAGUGAACCAGUACCGUGAGGGAAAGGCGAAAAGAACCCCGGCGAGGGGAGUGAAAAAGAACCUGAAACCGUGUACGUACAAGCAGUGGGAGCACCUUCGGGUGUGACUGCGUACCUUUUGUAUAAUGGGUCAGCGACUUAUAUUCUGUAGCAAGGUUAACCGUAUAGGGGAGCCGCAGGGAAACCGAGUCUUAACUGGGCGUUAAGUUGCAGGGUAUAGACCCGAAACCCGGUGAUCUAGCCAUGGGCAGGUUGAAGGUUGGGUAACACUAACUGGAGGACCGAACCGACUAAUGUUGAAAAAUUAGCGGAUGACUUGUGGCUGGGGGUGAAAGGCCAAUCAAACCGGGAGAUAGCUGGUUCUCCCCGAAAGCUAUUUAGGUAGCGCCUCGUGAACUCAUCUUCGGGGGUAGAGCACUGUUUCGGCUAGGGGGUCAUCCCGACUUACCAACCCGAUGCAAACUACGAAUACCGAAGAAUGUUAUCACGGGAGACACACGGCGGGUGCUAACGUCCGUCGUGAAGAGGGAAACAACCCAGACCGCCAGCUAAGGUCCCAAAGUCAUGGUUAAGUGGGAAACGAUGUGGGAAGGCACAGACAGCCAGGAUGUUGGCUUAGAAGCAGCCAUCAUUUAAAGAAAGCGUAAUAGCUCACUGGUCGAGUCGGCCUGCGCGGAAGAUGUAACGGGGCUAAACCAUGCACCGAAGCUGCGGCAGCGACACUAUGUGUUGUUGGGUAGGGGAGCGUUCUGUAAGCCUGCGAAGGUGUGCUGUGAGGCAUGCUGGAGGUAUCAGAAGUGCGAAUGCUGACAUAAGUAACGAUAAAGCGGGUGAAAAGCCCGCUCGCCGGAAGACCAAGGGUUCCUGUCCAACGUUAAUCGGGGCAGGGUGAGUCGACCCCUAAGGCGAGGCCGAAAGGCGUAGUCGAUGGGAAACAGGUUAAUAUUCCUGUACUUGGUGUUACUGCGAAGGGGGGACGGAGAAGGCUAUGUUAGCCGGGCGACGGUUGUCCCGGUUUAAGCAUGUAGGCUGGUUGUCCAGGCAAAUCCGGAUAAUCAAGGCUGAGGUGUGAUGACGAGGCACUACGGUGCUGAAGUAACAAAUGCCCUGCUUCCAGGAAAAGCCUCUAAGCAUCAGGUAACAUCAAAUCGUACCCCAAACCGACACAGGUGGUCAGGUAGAGAAUACCAAGGCGCUUGAGAGAACUCGGGUGAAGGAACUAGGCAAAAUGGUGCCGUAACUUCGGGAGAAGGCACGCUGGUGUGUAGGUGAAGUCCCUGCGGAUGGAGCUGAGACCAGUCGAAGAUACCAGCUGGCUGCAACUGUUUAUUAAAAACACAGCACUGUGCAAACACGAAAGUGGACGUAUACGGUGUGACGCCUGCCCGGUGCCGGAAGGUUAAUUGAUGGGGUUAUCCGUAAGGAGAAGCUCUUGAUCGAAGCCCCGGUAAACGGCGGCCGUAACUAUAACGGUCCUAAGGUAGCGAAAUUCCUUGUCGGGUAAGUUCCGACCUGCACGAAUGGCGUAAUGAUGGCCAGGCUGUCUCCACCCGAGACUCAGUGAAAUUGAACUCGCUGUGAAGAUGCAGUGUACCCGCGGCAAGACGGAAAGACCCCGUGAACCUUUACUAUAGCUUGACACUGAACAUUGAGCCUUGAUGUGUAGGAUAGGUGGGAGGCUUUGAAGCGUGGACGCCAGUCUGCGUGGAGCCAACCUUGAAAUACCACCCUUUAAUGUUUGAUGUUCUAACGUUGGCCCCUGACCGGGGUUGCGGACAGUGUCUGGUGGGUAGUUUGACUGGGGCGGUCUCCUCCCAAAGCGUAACGGAGGAGCACGAAGGUUAGCUAAUCCUGGUCGGACAUCAGGAGGUUAGUGCAAUGGCAUAAGCUAGCUUGACUGCGAGCGUGACGGCGCGAGCAGGUGCGAAAGCAGGUCAUAGUGAUCCGGUGGUUCUGAAUGGAAGGGCCAUCGCUCAACGGAUAAAAGGUACUCCGGGGAUAACAGGCUGAUACCGCCCAAGAGUUCAUAUCGACGGCGGUGUUUGGCACCUCGAUGUCGGCUCAUCACAUCCUGGGGCUGAAGUAGGUCCCAAGGGUAUGGCUGUUCGCCAUUUAAAGUGGUACGCGAGCUGGGUUUAGAACGUCGUGAGACAGUUCGGUCCCUAUCUGCCGUGGGCGCUGGAGAAUUGAGGGGGGCUGCUCCUAGUACGAGAGGACCGGAGUGGACGCAUCACUGGUGUUCGGGUUGUCAUGCCAAUGGCACUGCCCGGUAGCUAAAUGCGGAAGAGAUAAGUGCUGAAAGCAUCUAAGCACGAAACUUGCCCCGAGAUGAGUUCUCCCUGAGACUUUAAGUCUCCUGAAGGAACGUUGAAGACGACGACGUUGAUAGGCCGGGUGUGUAAGCGCAGCGAUGCGUUGAGCUAACCGGUACUAAUGAACCGUGAGGCUUAACCUU
rnacentral:rRNA from 2 species